AACCAUGAACCACUGUCUGUGACUGCCUGUACAACAGUCUGAAAGGGUCUGUAUGAAUAUAGAACAGAGAUAAUCAGUCGUUCGCCGAGCAAAACAAAUUAAAUAGGCCUGGAACUUGGCAACAGAACAGUCAGCUUUCUUCUGGUGAAACCUUUUCUGAAAUCCUGAGCAGCUUCACAGGGAAAUAGCAGCUCCUCACGUGAUCAUGUCCUCCGAUCAAACAGGUAGACUACAGACCAGCUCCUCACGUGAUCAUGUCCUCCGAUCAAACAGGUAGACUACAGACCAGCUCCUCACGUGAUCAUGUCCUCCGAUCAAACAGGUAGACUACAGACCAGCUCCUCACGUGAUCAUGUCCUCCGAUCAAACAGGUAGACUACAGACCAGCUCCUCACGUGAUCAUGUCCUCCGAUCAAACAGGUAGACUACAGACCAGCUCCUCACGUGAUCAUGUCCUCUGAUCAAACAGGUAGACUACAGACCAGCUCUUCACGUGAUCAUGUCCUCCGAUCAAACAGGUAGACUACAGACCAGCUCCUCACGUGAUCAUGUCCUCCGAUCAAACAGGUAGACUACAGACCAGCUCCUCACGUGAUCAUGUCGACCGAUCAAACAGGUAGACUACAGACCAGCUCCUCACGUGAUCAUGUCCUCCGAUCAAACAGGUAGACUACAGACCAGCUCUUCACGUGAUCAUGUCCUCCGAUCAAACAGGUAGACUACAGACCAGCUCUUCACGUGAUCAUGUCCUCCGAUCAAACAGGUAGACUACAGACCAGCUCCUCACGUGAUCAUGUCCUCCGAUCAAACAGGUAGACUACAGACCAGCUCCUCACGUGAUCAUGUCCUCCGAUCAAACAGGUAGACUACAGACCAGCUCCUCACGUGAUCAUGUCCUCCGAUCAAACAGGUAGACUACAGACCAGCUCCUCACGUGAUCAUGUCCUCCGAUCAAACAGGUAGACUACAGACCAGCUCUUCACGUGAUCAUGUCCUCCAAUCAAACAGGUAGACUACAGACCAGCUCCUCACGUGAUCAUGUCCUCCGAUCAAACAGGUAGACUACAGACCAGCUCCUCACGUGAUCAUGUCCUCCGAUCAAACAGGUAGACUACAGACCAGCUCCUCACGUGAUCAUGUCCUCCGAUCAAACAGGUAGACUACAGACCAGCUCCUCACGUGAUCAUGUCCUCCGAUCAAACAGGUAGACUACAGACCAGCUCUUCACGUGAUCAUGUCCUCCAAUCAAACAGGUAGACUACAGACCAGCUCCUCACGUGAUCAUGUCCUCCGAUCAAACAGGUAGACUACAGACCAGCUCUUCACGUGAUCAUGUCCUCCAAUCAAACAGGUAGACUACAGACCAGCUCCUCACGUGAUCAUGUCCUCCGAUCAAACAGGUAGACUACAGACCAGCUCUUCACGUGAUCAUGUCCUCCAAUCAAACAGGUAGACUACAGACCAGCUCCUCACGUGAUCAUGUCCUCCGAUCAAACAGGUAGACUACAGACCAGCUCUUCACGUGAUCAUGUCCUCCAAUCAAACAGGUAGACUACAGACCAGCUCCUCACGUGAUCAUGUCCUCCGAUCAAACAGGUAGACUACAGACCAGCUCCUCACGUGAUCAUGUCCUCCGAUCAAACAGGUAGACUACAGACCAGCUCCUCACGUGAUCAUGUCCUCCAAUCAAACAGGUAGACUACAGACCAGCUCCUCACGUGAUCAUGUCCUCCGAUCAAACAGGUAGACUACAGACCAGCUCCUCACGUGAUCAUGUCCUCUGAUCAAACAGGUAGACUACAGACCAGCUCUUCACGUGAUCAUGUCCUCCGAUCAAACAGGUAGACUACAGACCAGCUCUUCACGUGAUCAUGUCCUCCGAUCAAACAGGUAGACUACAGACCAGCUCCUCACGUGAUCAUGUCCUCCAAUCAAACAGGUAGACUACAGACCAGCUCCUCACGUGAUCAUGUCCUCCGAUCAAACAGGUAGACUACAGACCAGCUCCUCACGUGAUCAUGUCCUCCGAUCAAACAGGUAGACUACAGACCAGCUCCUCACGUGAUCAUGUCCUCCGAUCAAACAGGUAGACUACAGACCAGCUCUUCACGUGAUCAUGUCCUCCGAUCAAACAGGUAGACUACAGACCAGCUCUUCACGUGAUCAUGUCCUCCGAUCAAACAGGUAGACUACAGACCAGCUCUUCACGUGAUCAUGUCCUCCGAUCAAACAGGUAGACUACAGACCAGCUCUUCACGUGAUCAUGUCCUCCGAUCAAACAGGUAGACUACAGACCAGCUCCUCACGUGAUCAUGUCCUCCGAUCAAACAGGUAGACUACAGACCAGCUCCUCACGUGAUCAUGUCCUCCGAUCAAACAGGUAGACUACAGACCAGCUCCUCACGUGAUCAUGUCCUCCGAUCAAACAGGUAGACUACAGACCAGCUCCUCACGUGAUCAUGUCCUCCGAUCAAACAGGUAGACUACAGACC